GAAAAAUUAAAUUUUAAAAGAAAAAAAUUAACUUGGGGUUUUGACUUAUUCUGUUGUGUUGGAGGUGCCACAUGUUCAGAGGAAGAGGAAUGGAUGAUAGUUCUGUUAUGGUCUUCUCCCAGAAGCUGUGUCAGUCUUGCCACUUUCGUAACUAAAAGGAGGAAAGCAGGUCCUCAGGGUCACAGGCAUGGGUGGAAAAGCCUGUGACCACCAGGAUAUGUGUGCAGAGCUGAUGACCUUUGAGGUGGAAAUUGUCUUGCUGGCUCUGCCUCACCAUGAGGCUGAAAAACAGCAUCUUGACAACAGCACAACUCUCCAGCCAUGGUGUGCUGCUGAUAGAGCUGGCUGCUGCCUAUUCAAGGCUCAGGAUACACCUGGAGAUGAUCACAACCCCCUUAAUAUACCAGAGCAGGAAAGUGGAAUUGGACUGGAAGAAGAUGAGUGAAUGGAGAACAGAAACUUAUCAAAUGUUAUGAAGUCUUGAAGGACAGAAGAUGGACAAAAGCAAUGGGUGACUGUAAAAAAAUAAAUCCUGGUUGGAAAAGGAUUGUGGAGCUUGG
rnacentral:lncRNA from 14 species